UACGUAGGGUCCGAGCGUUGUCCGGAGUUACUGGGCGUAAAGCGCGCGCAGGCGGCGGUGCUGGCCCGGGCGUGAAAGCCCCGGGCUCAACCCCGAACUUGCAGUGGGUACGGGCAGACUAGAGUGUGGUAGGGGAGACUGGAAUUCCUGGUGUAGCGGUGAAAUGCGCAGAUAUCAGGAGGAACACCGAUGGCGAAGGCAGGUCUCUGGGCCAUAACUGACGCUGAGAAGCGAAAGCAUGGGGAGCGAACAGG
rnacentral:rRNA from 1 species